AUAGGUCUAGAAAGUCUACACUAGCACCCCACUCCUGGCAUAAUUCUCUUCCCACCGCCCAUCUCCUUCCAGGCCUGCGGGCCCCGGGAUGCCUGCGAGAUCCCACGUUCCUUACCUUUGGAUCCUCGCGCCCUAGCGCGGCGCUGGCAGCGGCAGCCCCCGGGCCCUUGGGAUAGUCUCCGUGACCGCGACCGCAGGAGCGAGACUGGGGUGGCAGCACUGACCAGGGAGGGAGGCGACCCUGCCCUUCCCUCCGCAGGCCUUAGUCUCCUCCAGUAACCAGUGGUCCUCUCCAGUAGCCCGUGGUCUGCUCCCACCGGGAACCCCUUCCCCUAUCUCCUCGGCUACUCUCCGGCAUCCGAAGAUGAAAAGCCGCUAUCAAGGUCCCCAACCUCGUUUUCUUCUUUUAACUAGCCCGCAUUUCCUCUGGGCUGCUUGGACGCGGUCGCCAGCGCCGGCUCCAUCUAAAUCCCUCUAAAUCCCUCUGUGAUAACCCACCGCAGGUUGGGCACCUCUCCGGGUGUGGGCAUUAUCUCAAAGGGGAAACAGCUGUGGUUCGUCACGUUUCCUUUUAACAAGGGCCGUCUGUGGUUGGUGGUGCGGCUGUCCUUCGAGGAGGAAGGAACAGAGUAAGGAAACCCCGCGCCGGCCUGCGUGAGGGGUCGCUGGGCGCAGGGAGGAUGGAGCCUGGCGGGGACCAGCCACCUCGGCACCGAACCCACAGACUCCACUGGCGGCUCCGGAGAAGGCUGUGAAAACAGAGGGCAGAAAAUCUUCCUGGAGACCAAGGGAGAUUUUCCCGACCCAGGGAUGGAACUCAUGUUUCCUGUGUCUCCUGCGUUGGCAGGUGGAUUCUUUACCCAAGAGCUAAAGAAACUCUCCUUGAAACCAGGGUCAUAUGGGGACCCAGACUGAGUAUUUCACCUUCUUCAUGCCUCAUCACCCAUCUGUAAGCUGAAAAAUGUUGAAAGAGGGUAUAAAGAGAACAAAGAUAAAAACAGAGUUCUAAAGAAGAAAGUCACCAGUGAGUGGGAGUGGAAAGCAGGAAUGCAUUACAGCAUGCCCUCUGAAGAGGCUUCCUUCCUGCCCCUUUCUUUCCCUCCCUUCCUUCUUAUCUUCCUGAGUUGAAACCAAGAGGCAAAGAACAGCAUUCUUCCCAAACAAGUAGUUUAGUUUUUCGUGUUUGGUAUUUAUUGACAUCUUGGAAUGCCAUGCCUCAUCCACAUUUCCAUGUGACCUCUCAAUGCAUAAACAGAAAAAAGCAUGCCAAAGAUCGCAUAUACUUUUCAGACAGCAAAUCCCAGCGUUCUGUUUUUCUGCCUAUAUUGGGGGGAUGGGGGAACACCCCCAAGACCAUAUGUUCAUUCACUAACGAGAGCCUUGCCAGCUUAUAAUCAAUGAAAUUAGUUAGAUGGUGCAAGUCAAAAAUCGUUUUGAAAUAUUAAGAGUUAAAUCUGUGACACUUUAUUUUUAGAUUUCUGAGAAAUACAUUUCUGACUUGCCACUGCUCAGGCUCUCCACACCCGCUACUAGAAAAGAAAGAAAAAGAGGCAUUCUCUCCUUUCUAGUCUAUUCUCCCGUCCUCCCCACUGUGAAUCACGUGUAGAAGAAACCUUCACGGUUACGGUCACACAUGUUUGGCUCUCUAACCUUCAGCUGUGUCGGCGGGCGACCCAGUUGCCGGUCAUUUAACCUGCCUGGAUGGAUGAGCUCGUUAGCGAGCCGCCCCAGGGGCUUUUUCUAUUGGCGGGUCUCCCAGACGCCAGUCCUCUUCCUCCGUCCAACAGCCUUCACCGGCUGAGAUUAACAGGCCCUAGGUGUCCCGCGGAGAGAGUCCUCCCGUUUCCAGGAGGAGAACUCGAAUGCGCGGUGGAAGCAGUCAUUCCGAGCAUCCCGCUGACGUUAGUUACACUUUUCACAAAGGCCACCCUUUCUCCCGAACACCACCAGCUCUCCAGAUCCCUCCCCGAUUCUGGGGAGGGAGGGUGAACCUACCAGCAAGUCUUGUUCCUUGCUCUGCCAAGGGGCUGCUUCCCCUCGCGGGUCAGCGCACCUACCAGGAAACCCUGAAUUCUUCUCCUUGUUCCCCUGACCGUGAAGCUGAGUAUCGCUUCCAGUGAUCUGAGAGCUACCAGAGCUGCCUGCCUGGCGUGAGGGGAGAAGGAAGCGACAGGGCUUGUCUCCUAAAACAAGGGAACUCAGGCUCUCCCUGAGCAUCCAGCUAGGGCAGGCACCCUGGGAGGUGCUUUCAAAAUUUAAAAAAAAAAAAAUGUAAUUAAUAAGACCCUGGCUUUUUAUCUUCCCUGGUUUCUCCUUUCUAAGAAAGGCGCACACACACACACACACACACACACACACAAAUUUAAAUUAAAGUCUAGAUUUCCUGUUGUGGACCCAGAGACCAUGGAACGCCUCCUGUUUCUCCUAGGUCUGGUCUUAGUAUGUCCACCCCAUCUCUUUAUUUUUUUCCAUAUUGU